CCUCCACGGCCUUUGAUAUUUAUGCAAGCCUGGUGUUGCCCCGUCCUCCAAACCACCCAGCUCUCAUGCCUUUUCCUGGAAGGAUUCACCUCCAGCAGCUGCUGCUUGUCUUGGUCUUAGCCUCAUCUUAAAGGAGGUAGCUGGUGGGAGUGUGUGGCUCUGCCCCCUGCUGGCCACAAAGCCACAGGCAGGUGCAAAGCCCCUUUUCUUUCUCUUUUUUUAAAUGUCCAAAUCAUGCAUACUGUAGUCCAGAAUCAAAGCACUUUUGCAAAGUGGCUACAUGUCCAACCUCCAGAGCCUGUGAAGCCACAUUCCAAGAGCCUGUUUACAUGACGGCAGCAUCAAUCUCUGGUAGCCAGUCCAUAGCUGGGACCAGUCUGUCUCCCUAAUCCAGUUUGCUCCUUUUCUUAGUUCUUGGAGGUGGACAAGUCACUUAUUCCCACAGGCUUCCACAGGCUGAGGGUAGGAGUGGGACUGUUGAAUUCCAAAGCACAAAAGGUGCAGUGGGGGAUAGACUUCCUGUGCCUCAACUUACUACCCACCUCCUGCCUUCCAGUUCUGCCAGGUGCUCCAUGCAGGGGACAAGAAGUAGGAGUCUGCUAGGACCCAGAUGGGUAGGGGAAGAACCAGAGGGGAGGUCUGAGGUGCUCUCUGUCCCCUGAAUGUGAUGAACAGUCACCUUAGCUGGUCCUUGGUAUGCCAGGCAUCUGCCUGUUUCAGUCUGAUCGGUGGGGGUGGAUUGGCACAAUUUCAGAGGCAGGAGCCCAUGGGCUUGUCCCUUUUAGCUUGGCAGGAAGUACUGAGGUGGAAGGGGGGAAACUGGCAAGGGGAGAGAUUUAUUUGGGCAGCAGGCCCAGAUCUGGUCCUUGGACUUCUUUCUCUGACCUUUCUCUUCUCAGUGAUGUCCUUUCUGCAGCUGCCUUCCAGCAAGGGUGAUUCUACUGGGGGCAGCUGAGGCUGAGUGGCAAGGAUGGGAAGCCAAAGGUGCAUUUUACUCAACUCUUCCCUAGUCAGUGAGAGGCACCCAGUGGUCCUAGUGAGGAGGCCAGGUGGCUGUUCCCCAAAUGUCAGCCUCUGCUACUGAUCCUUCCUCUUGGAAUUUUAAUGACCUCUGUUUUUGGCCUAUACCAACUAUCUAGGUACGCCGACUUCCUCGUUGGCCCCCGUGACUCCAUAGGGGUGGUCAUAGUGCCUCCCUUUACAGUAGCCUGGUUGCCACUCAGAGCCAUCCCUUCUUGAUCCCCUUUCCUUAACAGUGACAUGGACUUGAGCCUGGCAAGGCCUGCGUUUAGCUUCUCUGUUACCAGGAGAGUGACACUCUGGCCUGUCACCUGCCCCUCAAGAGCUGGGAACAUAGAGGGUGUGUGGCCUGCUCUAGGGAUUUUCAGUUCAUCACUACCAUCUUCUUCCUGUAGCUGUAAAUCAAGUCUUUCCCUUGCCCUGUGGGUAAUGGGGAGCUGCUGCUGGGUGUAUGUUGCACCGCCCAGUGAGUUGAGGAAGGACAAUCAGUAAGCACUGUUCUGCCUAGAGCUCAUCUCCCCUGCCCUAGAACCCAGGACCAUCAAAGCCCCAUGGCAGCUAGCAGUGUCCUCGGAGAUGGUGAAGGCAGGAGGGACCUCGACUUGUGUUUUUCCUUCCCCUCCAAUGUUACUGGAGCGCUUCUCCUCAGUCGGGAUUUUCUGAGUUUAUCUCCCCACUGGGUGGGCCAGAGUACAAAGAAGGAAUCUAGAAGAGUCAACUUUUCUUUGUCCUCUGGGGUAAAUGAGCUUGACCUAGUCCAAACGGAGAGACCAAAAGCCUCUGAUUUUUCAUUUGCAUAAAAAUGUUAGAAGAGAGAAGUAUAUAUAUAUAUAUAUGUAUUUCUUUAAAUUUUUGAGUCUUUGAUAUGUCUAUACAAACAAUCCAUUCCCUGUCCUAAAGCUUGAGUGAGACACAUGAAAAAGCUGUGUUUCAUUUAAAG
ensembl:lncRNA